CAAGCUUUAAUAAGUCAUCCAUAGACAGCAGGGACAACGGCGAGCGCCGGCGUUCAAAUAUCCUGCCGAGGGUGUGGCAAGCUUAAGGAUUAAGAGGCUUUCUUCACCUAUGUGGAGAAAGCCUUAUUUUAUGCAAA
rfam:Pseudoramibacter alactolyticus ATCC 23263 genomic scaffold SCAFFOLD1, whole genome shotgun sequence.